rnacentral:misc_RNA from 1 species
GAUGAAGAACGUAGCGAAAUGCGAUAAGUAAUGUGAAUUGCAGAAUUCAGUGAAUCAUCGAAUCUUUGAACGCACAUUGCGCCCCCUGGUAUUCCGGGGGGCAUGCCUGUUCGAGCGUCAUUUCACCACUCAAGCCUCGCUUGGUAUUGGGCAACGCGGUCCGCCGCGUGCCUCAAAUCGUCCGGCUGGGUCUUCUGUCCCCUAAGCGUUGUGGAAACUAUUCGCUAAAGGGUGUUCGGGAGGCUACGCCGUAAAACAACCCCAUUUCUAAGGUUGACCUCGGAUCGGGUAGGGAUACCCGCUGAACUUAAGCAUAUCAAUAAGCGGAGGA